AUUGAACGCUGGCGGCAGGCUUAACACAUGCAAGUCGAGCGGGUUCCUUGAGCUUGCUACCGGACCUAUCGGCGGACGGGUGAGUAAUGCUUAGGAAUCUGCCUAUUAGUGGGGGACAAUAUCUCGAAAGGGACGCUAAUACCGCAUACGUCCUACGGGAGAAAGCAGGGGAUCUUCGGACCUUGCGCUAGUAGAUGAGCCUAAGUCGGAUUAGCUAGUUGGUGGGGUAAAGGCCUACCAAGGCGACGAUCUGUAGCGGGUCUGAGAGGAUGAUCCGCCACACUGGGACUGAGACACGGCCCGGCCGCCUACGGGAGGCAGCAGUGGGGAAUAUUGGACAAUGGGGGGAACCCUGAUCCAGCCAUGCCGCGUGUGUGAAGAAGGCCUUAUGGUUGUAAAGCACUUUAAGCGAGGAGGAGGCUACUGAGACUAAUACUCUUGGAUAGUGGACGUUACUCGCAGAAUAAGCACCGGCUAACUCUGUGCCAGCAGCCGCAGUAA
rnacentral:rRNA from 1 species